AUAUUCCUCACUGGCUGCUGUGAGCUGGUCACAUGGGGAGCCAGUGCGAGUUUAAAAGUGCUUUGGUUUCCCUUCAGCCAGUGCAGUGUGAGCCUUUGCUUGAGACGCACACACAUACACACACACUACACGCCUUUGCCUACAGAACAGCAACUUUCUGUACUGGAGGUUCUCUGAUCUACCCAAACACACGCACACACUUUCACAUCUGUGUGCAGCUAUAGAGGACAAGACACAGGCAUUAAGGAGCGGAGGAAGAUAAGGCAAGAGACGGAGUCAAACGCUUUUAAAUGGCCAACAUUGUGACGUCCUUCUGCUGUGUGGUGCUUGCAGCCGUGGUGGUGGUUUAUGCCCAAAGGCGCAGCCAGCAAGGUGCCAGGAUUCAGUAUGAAAAGAUAGGAAGUGAUGUCACUAUGCAGUGCGGCUCGCUGGACAACGACGCCUCGGUAACAUGGAAGGUGAACGGUACGGACGUGAAGGCCCGUCGGCGGGAAGAAGGACCGCGGCUCAUCCUGAUGGAAGUGAACAUGAGUAGCAACGGCCUGUACAGCUGCUUCCAGAACCCCGACGGCCAGCGCCGCGACCAGAUCAAUCUCCGCGUUGGACGUAAGUAGUCUCUGUUUAUCCCACUUUCCUCUUCCUCAUAUUCACUAACAUUACAUCCUUCCCAGAACUCGGAAUAACCCUGCACAGUGUUUACCUCAACACUUAUUUUUUCUAAACAAGCAUUGCGCUCGUUUCCCCCACUUGCUGCAUGGUUAUCUCUUAGAGGCCGGUGACCUCUUGUUUGGAUGUCUCCUCUGUGAUUUGAAGAGUCUAAUUGUUAACAACAAACGUCAUUGUUUGACCCUGACUGCUCCUCGGUUCUCCUCAGGCCCCUGAUCCCAAGCCUUGUCUUCUCCAGCAAACAGCUGCUUCUAUCUGUGUGGGAGUCACUGGGUGCAAGUUUUAUGUCUUAUCUAUUUGUCAACUGGAUUAAUUUGUCAUGCUAGAUCUUUUUUAUGAGGACACACAACACGAUGGGAGAGGAGAUGGUAGACGUCCAGAUGUGUGCAAUACAACAGGGACCCCUUGCUUCUGAGUGGCCCCUAAAAACAAUUCAAUCACAAAAAUUUUGAGCAUUCAAAAUGUCAGUUGUAAAUCAGACAGACAAUUUAAUAUAAAAAAUUUAAAAUAUGUGAUGUAGCUGCAUAUUAAACAUCAAAUGUCUUCGGAUAGGCUGUGCACUUCAUGAACAUGCAUAACAAAAGUGGGCGAUGUGGUUUAUGUGAUCUUACCCUUAAAUUCUUUCCCUCAACUCUCUGAUAACCCCAAAACUAAGUUAAGAAUUGCUACGCUGCAAAGCACCGUAAUCAAUAUUAUGUGACAAGAUGCUACCCGUAACGCCGCCUGACAGCAAUUUCAUUGACUAAUCAAAUUAGACGAAUGAAAAGGGGAAAAGUGGAGAUGAGUCCUCUUAUGAGAACAUGACGAGGAAUGUGCUUCAUCACUCGCCUCUCUAUGCUUCCAUGGCUCCCGAAAAUAACUUGUAUGAAAUGUAAGCGAGAUCAGAUGAUUACAAAAAAUGGUCUAAUUCGUCUAAAGGAAAUUCAUUUUACAAGCUUUAAUAAUGCAUGGUUUCAAGAGCAUGCAGAUUUUCUUGGCAAAACUACAGCAAGUUUCCACUUUGUUUCUUUUAUUCUGUCUCUGCAAGCUAAAUGUCUUGAUUGUCUAUCCUGAUUGUUUCUCGUAAGAUAAAAUAAAGAGCAAAUUCAAGGGAUAGGGGUAGUCGUUCCAAGCCCGAAUCACUUUUACACAGGGUUGAAAAGAUGCAAUGGUGAGUAAAUGAUGACAGAAUUUACAUCCCUUUAAGACAUUAAUCCUACACAUGUCUCCUCUGUUUACUUCUGGAAUUAACAUCUGUUCCAGUUGAUCUAAACAUAAGCGAUCAGCCGAGACAGAUUGCCAUUUACACCUAAAUGCAUCUCCUGUGACCUCAGAUUUGUAACCACAUACUUCACCUGCUACAUCAGUGUGUUACUGCAUGUCGAUGAAGCACAAAAAGUUUAGCACAAUUUAGCAGAUGGUCCCGUUUUAGAAUCUUUUAACCAAGCAAAGGUGAGAACAGUAUUUCAUUGUGUGACUUUGCUGCACAUAAAACCGAUUGUGAGCUUAGCCUGACGGGCUGGUGGCCCUGUGGCCGCAGUUUCUCUCUCACAGCGGCUGGGUCACGGGCAAGCCAGCUCAGCUAACAAGAUAAGUUCUGCAUCUAAGUGCCUGAAUGAGAAUGGCAUGGUCCCAAUCCCACAGACAGGGAGAGGCCCCUCCGCAAGUACGUCAAACGCUCUGCCUAUCUGAGACAGGAACGCUUGCCAGGAAUUAGAGGGGAAGAAUCGGGUCUGGCCAUUUACAAGGAUUCCUGUAGUUCCUCUAAACAGUCUUUAGUGGUCUGUCAUAACCAAAACAGCUUGUAGGUCAACUUUCACAGACAAACCAUAGGAAAUAAGUUAUGGUUUCCUUGAUAAUUAUGAUGAUUUUAUUUAUGCCCACAAUGAUUCAAGAUCUUAGUUUCUUUAGUAUUUCUUCAGCAUUGUACUAGGUAACCUCGCCCCCAGUGAAAUCCUCAUGGUUCCAGUGUAUAAAUACCAACUAUGUUCUCAAUGUCCAUGAAUUUCUGGUUUCAGUGUGGACUGGUAGCUGGAAACAGGAAAUUUUAAGAAAUUCUAUGAAGAGUAAAGAGGAGUCGAAUCAGUAAACAUCGCAAACUGGACUCAAACCAGUUUCACCAACACGACCACCAUGGCUCAACUUCUCAAGUGAAUUUACAUUAAUUAUUGCACCACAACUCAGAAUAGUCGCGACUUAUUUGAGUUUCCAAAAGGCCCCUGGGUUCAUCUUUGUGGGCAUCUUUCCCACAAAUAGUAAGCUAGUUAAAGUUAAUUAAAGUCAUGUAGCAAUGUAAAUAACAACAAAUCUUUACAUCUGUUCUAUGACAAGUGCUGGGUAAAAUGUAAUUCAUUACUGAGUCCAAAUUACAAAAAUGGUAGUUAGUAACCCAGUAUGUUACAUUAUACAGUUUAGGUUAUAUACCUCUUUCUAAGCAUUGCCUGAAAGGCCCAUGUAGAUAACCCAGUGCAUAUUCCUGCCCUGCAAAUAGUGGCAGUAAAUUUAGUGAAAAAUCUUCAAGAAUUCAAUCUUUAACAAGAUCCACAACUGAACUGCUUAAAUGUGACUGGAUUUUUUGAAGUUGCAGUAUAUUGCAUAGCGUCUUAGAUUCUAACUUUUUUAAUCACUGGGUGCUUGCAACCCUAUGAUUUUGGGAUAAAUAAUGACCUCAUCUAUCAUACUUUCAUAACGCUGUCUUGAAACACUCAGUAAGAUUAAUACGGUCCUCUGUACCAUUAUUGGUUGGCAGGAAAUAUGAUGCAUAAGCAUAGAAAAGUUUACUAAUAAUGCAUACCUCUUGUGAGCACUGCUCGCUACUUAAAUGUUGGACUUUCAUUUAUUCUUUCUGAAAGUUACCUAUCUCAAAUGUCUCCUGUGCACUAGAUGUGUCCAUGGGUUGAAAUCGAUGACACGUCGAAUCCUGCACAAAAAUGAUGACUACCUGCCAAAGAGUUGUCUUUUAAAAGAUGAAGAAACAAACAGUAUUGGCAUUAAGUGCUAUGCCAAGAUAACAACUAAAGCAUAAAAUCACACAGAAAGUAAUGCCAGACUGAAAAGAAUGUUCAUAAGAAGUAUAAGGACAUGAAAAAAAAAAACAUAUUCACAAGCAAGUUACCUCUUGUAAAGUUCAAAACUUGCCUUAUCCUUUUCACUGCUAUGGCUGUUCUGUUGCUUGUGGUCUUUCUCCAUUUAGCUGUGAGAAACAAGAGAAAGCCAUUAAAGUGGCACGUUUUGUCUGCCCUGGGAUAGAGCUGCUUUCCUGCAGGACAAAGUGCUGGGUCUACAGUAAGCAAUGCUGAGGGUUCAGGCAGGACCACAAAGUAUGCAAGGGGAAGCGAGCGAAGGCGUUGUCAGAGAUAGCAAGCUCGUGUUGGGCUGCUUUGCGGUGGUUGUCAGGGAGGAGGUAGGAGAGAAGACAUAUGUCAAGGUCACCACCGCUUUACUUGAGUGCACAUGAUGCCAUAACAAUUAAACAUUUAUUAACUUACUGCAGGCAGAGGCAAACAAAAGCUUUAAAGUACUCGCUAUAAUGACUUUUUGAUGUUAUUUUGUGUUAAGUUCUCAUCCUCAUGUCGUUCCAGUCUGUGUGACUGAGUUUCCUCCAUGAAACACAAAAGGCGAUAUUUCGAGGAAUGUCUGAGCUGUUCUUUUCCAAGCAUAUUGUCUUUUUAAGCUUUCAAGCCUAGAAGAAAAACAAACUGCAUCAAAAGGACGAUAACUGUAAUGGUAACUAUAAAUAUCACAGCUAUAAUGUUAAUGACACAUAAUUAUACUAAAACUGUAUUCUAAGACAUACGAUGGAAUUGUGUAAGAAAUGGACCAAAAAUGCAGUUUUAUUGAAACAAUUCUGUCACAAUUAAUGCAUUUCAGCAAAGUGAAAAUCAACUGUCUGGCUCACCUAAAGUAGUUCCAUGCACAGUUAAAAUUUUCACAUGCUCUAAUAUUUGUGCUCAACUAAUUAUUUUUAAUUUUUUUUUAAUUCUGUGUCAUUAGCAAAACAUGAAACGUGGUUUUGCUCUUCCCCCCAUGGGACUGGAAAGGAAAAUUGCUUUCAACUACACGCCCUAUUAAAAAGUCUGAACUUUUGAUCAUUACUUUGGUCAAAUCAUUUUUUUUGGUUCAUUUCUAUGAAAGAUGGUCCAAGUUCUUGUUUGUAUUUUCUUAAGGCUGAGCUCCUUUCCCCUGCCAGCUUUAUUGUCUGUGAUUGAUAUUUUGUUUAUCAUUGGGAUCCUCUGGGAUUGUGGUGAACGGGUCGGCCAAAUGUAGAAUACAGUAAUUACAUCAGAGCUGCAGAGAAAAGCUCUGGGAGACGAACCUAGACAAGACUCACCAGCAUAAAAGGCAAAGAUUUACUUCUGUUUUAAAGAUUUUGCUUAUCUCCAAUUCUCUCUGCAGAACUUUCACAGUAAAAAGAAAAACAACUUGUUUUGACAAGAGCAUUUGAAAACUGUGUCUAUUAUGUUGAGAUAAAAAUUGCAUUAUUAUACAUAGAUAGUUAUCUUGGAAUUGUACAGACUGUAAAAUGUAUAAAUAUCUUUUACUAAAAGAUAGUAAUUUACAAAUACAGAAGAAAGGCAUUAUAAAAUUUUGACGAAUAUUUUGUUGCUAUGA